UACUACAAGUCUGGAAGGGUGAUGAGUCAGUAGUGUUGAAAAUGCAUUGGUGUGUACAGAUGGUGAAUACGUUAUUUGUAAGUUGUAUUGGGACACAUGGUUUGUCAUGUGCCCUGAACUAUUUGAACAUCUAUGCAACAGUCUGUAUGCAAUGCACUAUAUCAGUGGUCUCUGGUAGUUCAGAGGUGCUGGUACCUGGAGCCUGAGAGUGCUCGUCCAUUUGUUUGGGACAAAAUCCCUUCUGUAUAGGUACCUGCACAAAUAAACAUCUCCACAUAUUCCAAAUGCCAACCCAACCAAGGGAUGGUCAGUUCCCGAUUUACCUGGAAUCCCUGGA